GCUCUUAUGGGUCUUGCAAUUGAAUGAGUACAAUUAAAUCCCUUAACGAGGAUAUCAAUUGGAGGGCAAGUCUGGUGCCAGCAGCCGCGGUAAUUCCAGCUCCAAUAGCGUAUAUUAAAGUUGUUGCCGUUAAAAAGCUCGUAGUCGAACUUCGGUCCCUGUAAGCCGGUCCGCCUUAUUGGUGUGUACUUGCUUUGCGGGGACUUACCUCCUGGUGAACUGCCAUGUCCUUUACUGGGUGUGGUAGCAAGCUAGGACGUUUACUUUGAAAAAAUUAGAGUGUUCAAAGCAGGCCUAUGCCCGAAUACAUUAGCAUGGAAUAAUCGAAUAGGACGCGCGUUCCCAUUUUGUUGGUUUUUGAGAUCGCCGUAAUGAUUAAAAGGGAUAGUUGGGGCAUUUGUAUUCCGUCGUCAGAGGUGAAAUUCUUGGAUUGCCGGAAGACAAACUACUGCGAAAGCAUUUGCCAAGGAUGUUUUCAUUGAUCAAGAACGAAGGAAGGGGGAUCGAAAACGAUCAGAUACCGUUGUAGUCUCUUCUGUAAACUAUGCCAAUUGGGGAUUAGCUCAGGAUUUUUAAUGACUGAGUUAGCACCCGAAGAGAAAUCUUUAAAUGAGGUUCGGGGGGAGUAUGGUCGCAAGGCUGAAACUUAAAGGAAUUGACGGAAGGGCACCACCAGGUGUGGAGCCUGCGGCUUAAUUUGACUCAACACGGGGAAACUCACCAGGUCCAGACACAAUAAGGAUUGACAGAUUGAUAGCUCUUUCUUGAUCUUGUGGUUGGUGGUGCAUGGCCGUUCUUAGUUGGUGGAGUGAUUUGUCUGGUUAAUUCCGAUAACGAACGAGACCUUAACCUGCUAAAUAGUCCCGCCGGCUUUGGCUGGUGGCUGACUUCUUAGAGGGACUAUCAGCGUUUAGCUGAUGGAAGUUUGAGGCAAUAACAGGUCUGUGAUGCCUCUUAGAUGUUCUGGGCCGCACGCGCGCUACACUGACAGAGCCAGCGAGUGUUUUCACCUUGGCCGGAAGGCCUGGGUAAUUUGUGAAACUCUGUCGUGAUGGGGAUAGAACAUUGCAAUUAUUGUUCUUCAACGAGGAAUACCUAGUAAGCGUGAUUCAUCAGAUCGCGUUGAUUACGUCCCUGCCCUUUGUACACACCGCCCGUCGCUACUACCGAUUGAAUGGCUUAGUGAGGCCUUUGGAUUGGCUAUGGGAAGCCCUUGCGGGAAUUCCACUGCUGAGAAGCUGUACAAACUUGGUCAUUUAGAGGAAGUAAAAGUCGUAACAAGGUUUCCGUAGGUGAACCUGCGGAAG
rnacentral:rRNA from 1 species